rnacentral:rRNA from 1 species
AUGACUAGGGAUAACCUUAGAAAGAGACACAUCAUCAAGCCCCUUGAUUGUGUUUACUGCUUGGAACAAGAGUCUUGUUCUCACCUAUUUUUUGAAUGUAUAGUUGCUAAACAUCUCUGGGCCCACAUUGAGGAAUAUUUCUCUAGUCAGAUUGGCUCAUCCUUCGAAUCUGUCGCCAGAUUCUGGAUUGCUACCAAAAAGUGCUCAGUUUUAAACCCUGUUAGCUCAGUUGUCCUUUGGUGCCUCUGGAAAUAUAGAAAUGCUAUGAUUUUCAGUAACACCUCCUGGAUUUCCAUUCCGCAGGUCUUAAGGUUGAUCAGGAACAUGGUGAGGAACUGGGAGAUUCUCUCCUCCCGAUCGGACAAGGACAAGUAGAUGAGCUUCGUGGAAACCCUAACAAGAUCCCUCCAGAAACCGUUGGCGAUCACUUGUGGCUGA